rnacentral:rRNA from 1 species
ACUCCUACGGGAGGCAGCAGUAGGGAAUUUUCCACAAUGGGCGCAAGCCUGAUGGAGCAACACCGCGUGAGUGAAGAAGGGUUUCGGCUCGUAAAGCUCUGUUGUUAAAGAAGAACACGUAUGAGAGUAACUGUUCAUACGUUGACGGUAUUUAACCAGAAAGUCACGGCUAACUACGUGCCAGCAGCCGCGGUAAUACGUAGGUGGCAAGCGUUAUCCGGAUUUAUUGGGCGUAAAGAGAGUGCAGGCGGUUUCUAAGUCUGAUGUGAAAGCCUUCGGCUUAACCGGAGAGGUGCAUCGGAAACUGGAUAACUUGAGUGCAGAAGAGGGUAGUGGAACUCCAUGUGUAGCGGUGGAAUGCGUAGAUAUAUGGAAGAACACCAGUGGCGAAGGCGGCUACCUGGUCUGCAACUGACGCUGAGACUCGAAAGCAUGGGUAGCGAACAGGAUUAGAUACCCCUGGUAGGAUAGCG